rnacentral:rRNA from 1 species
AGCGUAGGUGGCCUAACAUGUCAACUGUGAAAACCCGGAGCUCAACUCCGGACUUGCAGUUGAAACUGGUAGGCUUGAGGACGGUAGAGGAAGACGGAACUGCCAGUGUAGGGGUAAAAUCCUUAGAUAUUGGCAGGAACGCCGGUGACGAAGGUGGUUUUCUGGGCCGGUUCUGACACUGAUGCUCGAAAGCCAGGGGGAGCGAACGGG